UACGAAGGGGGCUAGCGUUGCUCGGAAUGACUGGGCGUAAAGGGCGCGUAGGCGGUUCGUAUAGUCAGGCGUGAAAUUCCCGGGCUUAACCUGGGGGCUGCGUUUGAUACGUACGGGCUUGAGUUCGGAAGAGGGUCGUGGAAUUCCCAGUGUAGAGGUGAAAUUCGUAGAUAUUGGGAAGAACACCGGUGGCGAAGGCGGCGACCUGGUCCGAUACUGACGCUGAGGCGCGAAAGCGUGGGGAGCGAACAGG
rnacentral:rRNA from 1 species